GUCGAACGCUGGCGGCGUGCUUAACACAUGCAAGUCGAACGAAGUGGCGAACGGGUGAGUAAUACGUGGGUAACCUGCCCUCCUUUUUGGGAUAAGCCUUGGAAACGGGGUCUAAUACCGAAUAAAGGGGGAUGGGGUCGUGGCCUAUCAGGUGGUUGGGGGGGUGAUGGCCUACCAAGGCGGUGACGGGUAGCCGGACUGAGAGGGUGACCGGCCACUUGGGAACUGAGAUACGGCCUAUGGUCCUACGGGAGGGAGCAGUGGGGGAUAUUGCACAAUGGGCGAAAGCCUGAUGCAGCGACGCCGCGUGGGGUAUUAAGGCUUUCGGGUUGUAAACCUCUUUAGCUAUCGAACGGGUAGGCGGAGAAGAAGCGCCGGCUAACUACGUGCCAGCAGCCGAGGUAAUAC
rnacentral:rRNA from 1 species